rnacentral:rRNA from 1 species
GACAGAGGGUGCAAACGUUGUUCGGAAUUACUGGGCGUAAAGCGCGUGUAGGCGGCUUUGCAAGUCGGGCGUGAAAUCCCACGGCUCAACCGUGGAAGUGCACUCGAAACUGCAGAGCUAGAGUCCUGGAGAGGAAGGUGGAAUGCUUGGUGUAGAGGUGAAAUUCGUAGAUAUCAAGCGGAACACCGGUGGCGAAGGCGGUCUUCUGGACAGUGACUGACGCUGAGACGCGAAAGCGUGGGGAGCAAACAGG